AAAGAGAGACAAAUGAGACGACGAACAGAGGAAGAAAGUAGGAGACGGGAAAAAAGGGGAGAGAGAGAGAACGACGAGGGCGAGGAAGACUGCAUAGUCUAGACGAUCCAAUCUUCGUGUGGGUCGCAAAUGCGAAACCCACCAUCCCCAUUCUUGGAACCGUCGAUCGUGUGUACUGGGAUUUUGGAGACAGAUCAGAAAUGGCAUCAAAACCAGUUGUUACACAGCAAGCUAGAGAAAUUGCCGAAGGAGGAAAACAAAAGAUCCCUUUGGGCAAAGGAAAAAACCGGAAAGCACUUGGUGAUAUUGGGAAUUUGGUUCCUGUUCAAGUCAUCGAUGGGAAGCAGAAGGAGGAGUUCUCCCGUCCCCUAACGAGGAGCUUUUGUGCACAAUUAUGUUCGAAGGCACAAGCUGCUGUGCAAAAGAGAAUAUUAAGAAACCAGCUCCAAAAGUUGUUAAUGGACCUGUGGAGAAGAAAGGAGCUGUGCCAGCAUAACCAGCUCAGAAGAAGGCCAAUGCAAAGCCAAAGAUAUAGCAAAGGAUUAAAAUGCGAGCCAGAAAUCAUCAAGGCGUAAAGCUCAGACCCUCACAUAAUCCUAACAGCUCGAAGCAAGAGAAAAUCCAUCAGCCCAGCAUUUUCAGCUCCACAACAGCCUCAACAGCUAUCCUUGGUGAGGUUGAUUGGCCAAUGAAAUGCAUGUUUUAAUAACAUUUAGAUCAUUCAACUAGUAUCGCUCGGUAUUUAAAAGGCACAUUUAUUCACUAAGUGUUAAGUGUUCUAUUGGCUACAAGUAUUUAAAAAGUGCAUUCAUUCACCAAGGGUCUUGCUCUGAUACCACUUGUUGAGUCUCGAUACCCCUUGUGGGAAAAAAUGAUUACUCAACUUUCUCACUUGUGUGCCAAUGAAAUGCAGGUUCUUCAGUCUAAUAACACUUGGACCAUUCAACCAGUAUCACUCGGUAAAUGUUCUACGGGGUGUAGGUAUCUAAAAGACGCGUUUACUUACUAAGGGUUAUGUUGGGUCUUGCUAUGAUAUCGCUUGUUGAGUCUCGAUACUCUUUGUUGGAAAAAAUAAUGACUCGGUUUUUCCACAUGUGUGGUCACUAAAGGAAAUUCGAUUAUACUAUUCAUGUGAACAAUAAUUGUGAAUAGUAUACCCGUGAAUAGAAAUUAUGCGUAGUUAUAGAGAAUACUUAUGAUAGACAGCUAUGACUAAUGAAA